rnacentral:rRNA from 1 species
AGGGGGAUAACUACUGGAAACGGUAGCUAAUACCGCAUAACGUCUACGGACCAAAGUGGGGGACCUUCGGGCCUCACACCAUCGGAUGUGCCCAGAUGGGAUUAGCUAGUAGGUGGGGUAACGGCUCACCUAGGCGACGAUCCCUAGCUGGUCUGAGAGGAUGACCAGCCACACUGGAACUGAGACACGGUCCAGACUCCUACGGGAGGCAGCAGUGGGGAAUAUUGCACAAUGGGCGCAAGCCUGAUGCAGCCAUGCCGCGUGUAUGAAGAAGGCCUUCGGGUUGUAAAGUACUUUCAGCGGGGAGGAAGGGUUGCUGGUUAAUAACCAGUGACAUUGACGUUACCCGCAGAAGAAGCACCGGCUAACUCCGUGCCAGCAGCCGCGGUAAUACGGAGGGUGCAAGCGUUAAUCGGAAUUACUGGGCGUAAAGCGCACGCAGGCGGUCUGUCAAGUCAGAUGUGAAAUCCCCGGGCUUAACCUGGGAACUGCAUUUGAAACUGGCAGGCUAGAGUCUUGUAGAGGGGGGUAGAAUUCCAGGUGUAGCGGUGAAAUGCGUA